AUACGUAGGGGGCGAGCGUUGUCCGGAAUGAUUGGGCGUAAAGGGCGCGUAGGCGGCCCGGUACGUCUGGAGUGAAAGUCCUGUUUUUAAGAUGGGAAUUGCUUUGGAUACUGUCGGGCUUGAGUGCAGGAGAGGUAAGUGGAAUUCCCAGUGUAGCGGUGAAAUGCGUAGAGAUUGGGAGGAACACCAGUGGCGAAGGCGACUUACUGGACUGUAACUGACGCUGAGGCGCGAAAGUGUGGGGAGCAAACAGGAUUAGAUACCCUGGUAGUCCACACUGUAAACGAUGAAUGCUAGGUGUAGGGGGUAUCGACCCCUUCUGUGCCGCAGUCAACACAAUAAGCAUUCCGCCUGGGGAGUACGGCAGCAAGGUUGAAACUCAAAGGAAUUGACG
rnacentral:rRNA from 1 species